AGACCCGAAACCCGGUGAUCUAGCCAUGGGCAGGUUGAAGGUUGGGUAACACUAACUGGAGGACCGAACCGACUAAUGUUGAAAAAUUAGCGGAUGACCUGUGGCUGGGGGUGAAAGGCCAAUCAAACCGGGAGAUAGCUGGUUCUCCCCGAAAGCUAUUUAGGUAGCGCCUCGUGAAUUCAUCUCCGGGGGUAGAGCACUGUUUCGGCUAGGGGGCCAUCCCGGCUUACCAACCCGAUGCAAACUGCGAAUACCGGAGAAUGUUAUCACGGGAGACACACGGCGGGUGCUAACGUCCGUCGUGAAGAGGGAAACAACCCAGACCGCCAGCUAAGGUCCCAAAGUCAUGGUUAAGUGGGAAACGAUGUGGGAAGGCCCAGACAGCCAGGAUGUUGGCUUAGAAGCAGCCAUCAUUUAAAGAAAGCGUAAUAGCUCACUGGUCGAGUCGGCCUGCGCGGAAGAUGUAACGGGGCUAAACCAUGCACCGAAGCUGCGGCAGCGACGCUGAUGCGUUGUUGGGUAGGGGAGCGUUCUGUAAGCCUGCGAAGGUGACCUGUGAGGGUUGCUGGAGGUAUCAGAAGUGCGAAUGCUGACAUAAGUAACGAUAAAGCGGGUGAAAAGCCCGCUCGCCGGAAGACCAAGGGUUCCUGUCCAACGUUAAUCGGGGCAGGGUGAGUCGACCCCUAAGGCGAGGCCGAAAGGCGUAGUCGAUGGGAAACGGGU
rnacentral:rRNA from 1 species